CGAGGAGGUGCUGAGAGUGAGUGAGGGCUGCUAGCACGUUGUCACCUCUCAGUAACUGGAACACAUUAUUACUCCAGGUUGUCAAUGUGAAAAGCCAAAGGUAAGCAUGCAAAUUCUGGACUGAACAGGAGAGUAAAUUUAAAGUUCGGCAUAGUGAGCAGCUACUGCGGAACAGAGUGUCCAACAGUCUUUGUCAUGUCACCAGGAUUAAAUGACACAAAUGGGGACUAGACAUCUCAGCCAUAUGCCUGGUCUUUCUCUUGGAAAAUUGUUUAAUUAUGAACCUAUACGAGGU
rnacentral:lncRNA from 1 species